GCGUGCUUAACACAUGCAAGUCGAACGGAAAGGCCCUGCUUUUGUGGGGUGCUCGAGUGGCGAACGGGUGAGUAACACGUGAGUAACCUGCCCUUGACUUUGGGAUAACUUCAGGAAACUGGGGCUAAUACCGGAUAGGAGCUCCUGCUGCAUGGUGGGGGUUGGAAAGUUUCGGCGGUUGGGGAUGGACUCGCGGCUUAUCAGCUUGUUGGUGGGGUAGUGGCUUACCAAGGCUUUGACGGGUAGCCGGCCUGAGAGGGUGACCGGCCACAUUGGGACUGAGAUACGGCCCAGACUCCUACGGGAGGCAGCAGUGGGGAAUAUUGCACAAUGGGCGGAAGCCUGAUGCAGCAACGCCGCGUGCGGGAUGACGGCCUUCGGGUUGUAAACCGCUUUCGCCUGUGACGAAGCGUGAGUGACGGUAAUGGGUAAAGAAGCACCGGCUAACUACGUGCCAGCAGCCGCGGUGAUACGUAGGGUGCGAGCGUUGUCCGGAUUUAUUGGGCGUAAAGGGCUCGUAGGUGGUUGAUCGCGUCGGAAGUGUAAUCUUGGGGCUUAACCCUGAGCGUGCUUUCGAUACGGGUUGACUUGAGGAAGGUAGGGGAGAAUGGAAUUCCUGGUGGAGCGGUGGAAUGCGCAGAUAUCAGGAGGAACACCAGUGGCGAAGGCGGUUCUCUGGGCCUUUCCUGACGCUGAGGAGCGAAAGCGUGGGGAGCGAACAGGCUUAGAUACCCUGGUAGUCCACGCUGUAAACGGUGGGUACUAGGUGUGGGGUCCAUUCCACGGGUUCCGUGCCGUAGCUAACGCUUUAAGUACCCCGCCUGGGGAGUACGGCCGCAAGGCUAAAACUCAAAGGAAUUGACGGGGCCCCGCACAAGCGGCGGAGCAUGCGGAUUAAUUCGAUGCAACGCGUAGAACCUUACCUGGGUUUGACAUGGAUCGGGAGUGCUCAGAGAUGGGUGUGCCUCUUUUGGGGUCGGUUCACAGGUGGUGCAUGGCUGUCGUCAGCUCGUGUCGUGAGAUGUUGGGUUAAGUCCCGCAACGAGCGCAACCCUUGUUCACUGUUGCCAGCACGUUAUGGUGGGGACUCAGUGGAGACCGCCGGGGUCAACUCGGAGGAAGGUGGGGAUGACGUCAAGUCAUCAUGCCCCUUAUGUCCAGGGCUUCACGCAUGCUACAAUGGCUGGUACAGAGAGUGGCGAGCCUGUGAGGGUGAGCGAAUCUCGGAAAGCCGGUCUCAGUUCGGAUUGGGGUCUGCAACUCGACCUCAUGAAGUCGGAGUCGCUAGUAAUCGCAGAUCAGCAACGCUGCGGUGAAUACGUUCCCGGGGCUUGUACACACCGCCCGUCAAGUCAUGAAAGUUGGUAACACCCGAAGCCGGUGGCCUAACCGUUGUGGGGGAGCCGUCGAAGGUGGGACUGGUGAUUAG
rnacentral:rRNA from 1 species